AUUGAACGCUGGCGGCAGGCCUAACACAUGCAAGUCGAGCGGAUGAAGGGAGCUUGCUCCUGGAUUCAGCGGCGGACGGGUGAGUAAUGCCUAGGAAUCUGCCUGGUAGUGGGGGAUAACGUCCGGAAACGGGCGCUAAUACCGCAUACGUCCUGAGGGAGAAAGUGGGGGAUCUUCGGACCUCACGCUAUCAGAUGAGCCUAGGUCGGAUUAGCUAGUUGGUGGGGUAAAGGCCUACCAAGGCGACGAUCCGUAACUGGUCUGAGAGGAUGAUCAGUCACACUGGAACUGAGACACGGUCCAGACUCCUACGGGAGGCAGCAGUGGGGAAUAUUGGACAAUGGGCGAAAGCCUGAUCCAGCCAUGCCGCGUGUGUGAAGAAGGUCUUCGGAUUGUAAAGCACGUUAAGUUGGGAGGAAGGGCAGUAAGUUAAUACCUUGCUGUUUUGACGUUACCAACAGAAGAAGCACCGGCUAACUUCGUG
rnacentral:rRNA from 1 species